GACGAACCGUGCGAACGUUGUUCGGAAUCACUGGGCUUAAAGGGCGCGUAGGCGGGCUGUCAAGUCUGGGGUGAAAUCCCGCGGCUCAACCGUGGAACUGCCUCAGAUACUGACGGCCUCGAGGGAGGUAGGGGCAUGCGGAACUGUAGGUGGAGCGGUGAAAUGCGUUGAUAUCUACAGGAACUCCGGUGGCGAAAGCGGCGUGCUGGACCUCUUCUGACGCUGAGGCGCGAAAGCUAGGGUAGCGAACGGG
rnacentral:rRNA from 1 species